AUUAGCUNGNUGGUAGGGUAACGGCUUACCAAGGGGACGAUGUCUAGGGGUUUUGAGAGGAGAAUCCCCCCACACUGGUACUGAGACACGGACCAGAUUCCUACGGGAGGCAGCAGUAAGGAAUAUUGGUCAAUGGGCGGAAGCCUGAACCAGCCAUGCCGCGUGCAGGNNNNCUGCCCUNNNNNUUGUAAACUGCUUUUGUCCAGGAAUAAACCUAAAUACGUGUAGUUAGCUGAAUGUACUGGAAGAAUAAGGAUCGGCUAACUCCGUGCCAGCAGCCGCGGUAAUACGGAGGAUCCGAGCGUUAUCCGGAUUUAUUGGGUUUAAAGGGUGCGUAGGCGGCCUAUUAAGUCAGGGGUGAAAUACGGUGGCUCAACCAUCGCAGUGCCUUUGAUACUGAUGGGCUUGAAUCCAUUUGAAGUGGGCGGAAUAAGACAAGUAGCGGUGAAAUGCAUAGAUAUGUCUUAGAACUCCGAUUGCGAAGGCAGCUCACUAAGCUGGUAUUGACGCUGAUGCACGAAAGCGUGGGGAUCGAACAGGAUUAGAUACCCUGGUAGUCCACGCCCUAAACGAUGAUAACUCGAUGUUGGCGAUAGACAGCCAGCGUCCAAGCGAAAGCGUUAAGUUAUCCACCUGGGGAGUACGCCCGCAAGGGUGAAACUCAAAGGAAUUGACGGGGGCCCGCACAAGCGGAGGAGCAUGUGGUUUAAUUCGAUGAUACGCGAGGAACCUUACCCGGGCUUGAAAGUUAGUGAAGAAUGCAGAGACGCAUUCGUCCUUCGGGACACGAAACUAGGUGCUGCAUGGCUGUCGUCAGCUCGUGCCGUGAGGUGUUGGGUUAAGUCCCGCAACGAGCGCAACCCCUAUGUUUAGUUGCCAGCAUGUAAUGGUGGGGACUCUAAACAGACUGCCUGUGCAAACAGUGAGGAAGGUGGGGACGACGUCAAGUCAUCAUGGCCCUUACGUCCGGGGCUACACACGUGCUACAAUGGAUGGUACAGCGGGCAGCUACAUAGCAAUAUGAUGCUAAUCUCUAAAAGCCAUUCACAGUUCGGAUUGGGGUCUGCAACUCGACCCCAUGAA
rnacentral:rRNA from 1 species